AUGCUCUGGUCUCCCUUCAAAUCCGCGUAUUGAUCUUUCGCCUUUUACUAAAGAUCACCGUGGAGAAAAAGAUCGACGACGACGACGUUUGUUCGGCAGUGUUUAUCUUCCACUGC